rnacentral:rRNA from 1 species
AUUGAACGCCGGCGGCAGGCUUAACACAUGCAAGUCGAGCGGGGGAAGGUAGCUUGCUACCGGACCUAGCGGCGGACGGGUGAGUAAUGCUUAGGAAUCUGCCUAUUAGUGGGGGACAACAUCUCGAAAGGGAUGCGAAUACCGCAUACGUCCUACGAGAGAAAGCAGGGGAUCUUCGGACCUUGCGCUAAUAGAUGAGCCUAAGUCGGAUUAGCUAGUUGGUGGGGUAAAGGCCUACCAAGGCGACGAUCUGUAGCGGGUCUGAGAGGAUGAUCCGCCACACUGGGACUGAGACACGGCCCAGACUCCUACGGGAGGCAGCAGUGGGGAAUAUUGGACAAUGGGGGGAACCCUGAUCCAGCCAUGCCGCGUGUGUGAAGAAGGCCUUAUGGUUGUAAAGCACUUUAAGCGAGGAGGAGGCUACUUUAGUUAAUACCUAGAGAUAGUGGACGUUACUCGCAGAAUAAGCACCGGCUAACUCUGUGCCAGCAGCCGCCGUAA